CUGACUGACAUUUCAACUCCAGCCACCAGUGACUUCAACUGUCACUUUUCUGUCAUGCAGCUGACUACAUGUGUAAGCUGUUCAAACUCUGCCUGUCCUUAUCAUUCAAGACUGUGUGUUAUGAGGACUGCUUCCCUGAGAAUGCUGAGUGCAUUCUGGAAUAUUCCAAAUGUGUGCCACUUCCAUACGGACGCCCGCAAGAGAGUUCACUCAUCAGCAGUCCCAGCCUGCUUUUGCAAGUCCGAUGGGGGAUGAUCUAUGUUAAGGUCGUGUAAGCAAGAAGGCAAGUGCUGCUGCAGGCAAUGUUGCGAUAAGCCUGCAACAGAUAUAGCCGGGCC